AAUUGGUCUAGGGAAUUCAGUAAAUGUCUCUUUUCCAAUGUUCGUAUUCUCUCUCCUUGUUGCGCUCCCUAGCUAUGGGUUACGUUGCGAUUGUUAGAUGGCAGCAAAACCUUCUUCAUCUUCCCCAAACUCGUUGGGUAAAUUGCCAGCUGGAGCGUCUAUUUCAUCAAAAAGUUUUUUUGAUUCUAAAGGCUUUGUUAACUCUAGUAAAUCCCGUUCCUUUUGCGAUGUAGUUUUCAAUGCUUCUUCUUCUAUUGAUCCAGUUUUUUUCUUUUACUAAUUCGUUUGUAAAAGGUGUUCCUUCUCUUUUGAUGUCUGAUGAGGACAUUAUUAAGCUUUCUAGCCCUUUUCAUUUCACGCUUGUUGGAAAAUUUUUGGUCCGUAGACCUAAUUUAGACACGAUUCAAAAUUUAUUCAUAAAUUUGAAGUUAUCCAGUGUUUUUUCUUGUUGGUCAUAUUGAUGCUAGACAUAUUGCAAUCCAACUAAGUAAUGACUUGGAUUAUAGUUGUGUUUUUGCUGCGAGAUCAUACUACAUCAAUAAUUGUCAUAUGAGAUUACUCAAAUGGACACCGUACUUUGAUGUUAAGGAAGAAUCUCCUAUUGCGCCUAUUUGAAUAUCUUUACCCAAUUUACUAUUACUUUUUUUUAAUUCACAUGUUCUCCACGCCUUGGAUUCUAUUUUUGGUAGUCCAUUGCAAUCCAAUCAAGCUACUUCCUUGAAAUCAAGGCCUUCUAUAGUGAGGAUAUUGGUGGAAUUGGACAUUAUUAAGAAGCAUUCUAAGUAGAUUUUGCUUAGUUCAAAAAAUUCUGGUUAUCUUCAAAAAGCAGAAUUUGAAAAUGUUCCUUCUUUUUAUAAUCAUUACAAGAUCCAUGGACAUUCAACCAAUGAAUACUUUGUGCUCCAUCUGAAACUUAAAAAAAAAAAUAAUGAAGGUUCUAACAUUGUAGUAGAAGGUAACUUUGGGGAAGAGGAGAAAGAAGAUAUAUCAACGGAAUUGCAUGGUGUGAAUAAUAGUGAUGAACAGGCCGUUGGUGAGAAUUUAGAUUUUUGUCAUUAUGAUAAAUCUAUUGAUGGAAACAAUAAAAUUUAUCCCUACAUUUUUCUCAAUGAAACUUUGGAAAAUAAUUCCCUUAUUAGAACGGAUAGGCAUAAUUUGAAUGGUAUAAAUUGUGAGGAUAAUAAUCUUGGUAUGCUUGAUUCUAAUGAUUAUCAUAUUAUUGGUAAUAUAACUAUGCUGGUAGGUGUUAUGCUGAUAGGUGUUAUAAGUGAUGUUUUACCCACUUUACCUCAAACUCAAUGUACUUUAAUUCAUAAUUAUGGGAUGAGUUCAAAUAUACAAAAUGACAAAAAUGUUGAUAAUGAGGAAGGUGAUAUUUCUGAUCAUGAAAAUGAGUCUCUUAUGGAUAAGCAAAAUGUGGUUUCAACUAAGCCUAAGGGGAAUGAGGAGCACAACAAGAAUUUUGAAGAGGAUUAUGUUAAAGCAUCCAAAUUCAAAAAUAAGAAUAAGAAAAAUGGUGGGGGUAGUUCAUCUAGGAUAACAAGAGCCUCAAAUGUUUCUACCAAUUCUAAUGGUUGUCUCUCAUUUGGAAUAUACGGAGGAUGGGGGCUUCCUUGUGCAAGGACAGGGUGAGAAACUCAAAUAGGAUCCAUAAUAUUUAGCUUCUUGUUUUAAUUGAGCCUUUAAUUUCCUCAUAUUUCAUUGAUUCAUUGUUGUCCAGUCUGGGUUUUGAUUUGGCUUUUGGUAAUUGUUCUAACAAGAUUUGGUUAUUUUGGAAACUUGACAUUAUAGCUAAUUAACCUAAAAAUGUGCAUACACCUAUUAAUAUUUUUCAAUUAUCAUGAUAUGCUUCUUUUGUUUAUGCUUCUUAUUCUAUACUUGGUAGGAAAACACUCUAGAAAUAGUUUAGUGGUGUUUCCUCCGUUACUUUAGCUCCUUGGAUGAUUGGAGGUAACUUCAAUACCAUUUCUAAUAUUAAUGAAAGAAUAGGGGUAAACCAUCUAAUUCCUAUGCUAUGGAUGAUUUUAAUGAUAUGAUUUACAAUUCUAAUUUGCAUGACAUUGGCUUUUCGGGAAAUGCUUUUACUUAGAAUAAGGAUACUAUGUGGCAAUGAUUAGAUCAUAUUUUAUUUAAAGAUUCUUGGAUUUUUUCAUUUUUAUUUACUCAUAUUGAUCAUUUAAGUAGGACUUUAUCAUAUCAUUCCCCUUUACUUUUAAAUAUUUCUCAGUAGCAGCAAUACUCCUCCCUUUAGAUUUUAAAAUAUGUGGAUUUUAGAUAAUUCUUUUAACACCAUUAUCAAUAGAAAUUGGCAUGCUCCUCUAUUUCCUUAUGAUAAGGGCAUGACUAGAUUCUGCUUAAAACUCAAAAGGCUUAAAAAAAAUUUGUAUUGGUGGAAUAAGUGUGUUUUUAAAAACAUUUUUUUCUAAUAUUUCUCAAACUGAGGAUUUGGCUAAUAGUGCGAAUAUAAAUUACAUGAAUGUCCCUUCCUCUUAGAAUCUUGUGUUACUUAAUGAAGCUAAGGCUUCUUUGUUUAAACAUCAAGAAAAAAGGGAGUUUAUUGAAAACAAAAGGCUUCUUCUAAAUUCUUGGUUGAGGGGAUAGAAAUACUAAUUUUUUUCACAAUAUUGCUAACCAUAAGAAAGUUAUUAACCACAUUCACAAGAUUACUCCCCCUAAUGGUGUUUCUAUUGAUAGUCUUGAUUUGAUUUAUGCCUCUGGUAUUGAUUACUUUCAUUGAGUUUUUAACAAAGAUUUCUCUCUAGAUUUAAACAUUGAUUAUUUUUUCAUUCCUUCUCUUAUCUCUCAGGAGGAAAAUAAUUUUUUUACUAAAAUGCCUAAUGAGCAGGAGAUUUUUUUAACUCUUAGUAGUAUGAAUUUUGACUCUUUUGUCAGUCCAAAUGGUUUUACCACUAAGUUUUUUCAAAAAUGUUGGUCCAUUAUUAAAGAAGAUCUCAUAAAUGUUGUUAGGGAUUUCUACUUGGGGAAUCCUUACCCCAAUUUUUUAACUUUUACUUCGAUUAUUUUAAUUCCUAAGAAUGAUGCUAUUAACUUUUUUUAUUAUUACCGUCUGAUUAGCUUGUGUUCUUUUUUAAAUAAGCUUAAUGCUAAAUUUUUUAUGUGUAGGAUUUCUAUUUUAUUACCUAAAAUCAUUUCUUUGGAAAAAAUGACCUUUGUUAAAGGUAGGUCUAUCUUUGAUAAUGUUUUAAUGGAUCAAAAGUUACUUCAUGACUUGGAAGUUAAAAUUAUUGGUGGUAAUAUUAUUUUUAAGGUUGAUAUUUCUAAAGCUUAUGAUAGUUUAAAUUGGGAGUUCUUUAACCUGAUGUUAAAGCUUUUUGGGUUUAAUAUGGAUUAUAUUAACCUUAUUAAAAAUAGCAUUGAGGGUUUUUUCUUCUCUGUUAUGAUCAAUGGUAAAUGUCAUGAUUAUUUUAAGUCCACUCAUAGACUUAAACAAGGGGAUCAUCUUUCCCAUGCUUUGUUUAUUAUUGAUGUUGAAAUUCCUUCUAGAGGUCUUAACAAGUUAUUUUGAAAUCAUCCUACAUUGCAUUUUAGAAUGCUUGGUGGUUAACCUAUUACUCAUUUGAGUUUUGCUGAUGAUUUCAUUAUUUUCACUAAUGGCUCCAUUAUAAUGUUGUAUAUUUUGUUUACUUUUCUUGAUCAAUUUCAAAGAGAAUGUGGUCUUAUUUCUAAUCCUCACAAGAGUUGUUUCAUCACUUCCAAGUCUAUUUCUAAUCAAAGAAUCCAUGAUAUCUAUAAUAAGUUUGUCUUUUCCCAUAAGACUUUACCUUUGAAAUAUUUAGGUACUCCUCUUUUUAGUGGUAGAAAUAGAUCUCACUUAUUUGAAGACAUCUUCAAUGCUAUUCACAAAAAACUUACUACUUGGGCUUUGAAUUUUCUUCUUAUGGUGGUAGGUUGGUUUAAUUAAACAUGUGCUUUAUUAUAUUAUUAUUUAUCUCUUUCAUACUUUAUGCCCUACAGGGAAUGUUUGUUGUAGGAUGGAAAGUCUUUUUAACAAUUUUUUUUGGGGUGUUACAGACACUAAAUCUACCAUUUUGUGGACUUCUUGGACUAAUAACUCUAGGGAUUUUUAGGAGGGGAAUCUUGGUUUUAAAAUUAUAGGUGAGAUGUUGACCAAUUUUUCAUACAAACUUUAGUUUUCUUUUAGAUCUAAAAAACGUAUGUGGGCUAAAUUUAUGAUUGUUAAAUAUUAUGCUCAUUAUCAUCCUCUUGCUUGUCACUUUAAACAAGGUGAUUCUUUUAAUUUGAGAAGGCUCUAUGCCAUCAAGUGGGAGGCUGAAAAUUUUAUCCAAUGUAUUUUGGGUAUUGGCAAUAUCUUAUUUUGGUAAGAUAAGUGUUUGGGUAACUUUUCUAUUAACAGUUUUUUAAAAACUUAUUCUACUUUUACUUGCAAAGUUAAUUAUUUUAUUUAUAAUGGUAUUUGGAUGUUAAUUUACUUUGUGAAAAUGUCCCGCGUUUAAUUGUUAGUCUUAUUCUUAAUAUUCCUAUUUAAUUGGAUAAUGAGGAUAUCAAUAUGUUUACUAAGGCCAAUGAUAGUAAGUUUGGUUUAAAGCAAGUUUGGCACUCUAUCAGACAAUCCUACCCAAAGGCUUUACUUUAUUAAGCAAUUUAGAACCAUGCAAUCCCGUCUUCUUACACUAUUUUAGUUUAGCGGACUAUGCAUAAUUAUUUACCGGUGGGCUUUAGGCUUAUGAAAAUGGUUUUCACCUUAUCUCCAAAUGUCAGUGGUGUUAUCACAUUGAGAACAUAAAUCAUGUUUUCACUAAUGGUCCUAUAGCUCUAAAAGUUUGGCUUCACUUUGAUAACAUUUUUAAUGCUCAUUUUUGCAAUAAUUAUAGCUCUAUUAUGAAUAUUUUUCAAACCUGGUUUACACCUUCUAAAUGUCAUAUUCGUAAUAUUUUGCUUAUUAUUAUUUGUUGGCUUUUAUGGAAGAAUAGAAACGAAGCUAAACAUGAAAAUAUUUUUAUGAAUGCGAUGACCAUUGUUGGUAAAGUAAAAGAUAAAAUUUUGUAGUUGUCUUUAGCCAAUUUGAUUAAAGGCAAUGCUUUCAUUGGUUAUUACCACACUACUACUGAUUUUGGUGUUUCUUCUCAUUUAGACCCCAUUGUUAUUACCAUAGAAUUGUGAGAUGGAUUAAACCCAAUGAUGGGUGAUUUAAACUCAACAUUGAUGGCACUCUUAAUGAUUCCAAUGCGGGUUGUGGUAAGCUAAUUAGAGAUUCUAAUGGACAUGUAGUCAUUACUUUUCGGGUCCUAGUUCCUCUAAUAAUGCCAUUAUGGCUAAAAUUCAAGCUUUGCAAUAUGGUUUACAUUUAUGUAUCUCUUUAGGUAUCACUAAAUUUUGGGUUGAAGUUGAUGCUAAGCUUCUUAUUUAUUAUAUUAAUGGUAAUACAAUGUCCAACCCAUCAUUCUUUUAUAUGAUUAGAGAUAUUAAACAGUGUCUUUCCCUCAUUUCUUUUUUUCAUUAUCCAUGUUUUGCGUGAAGGAAAUGCUACUACGGAUUGUCUUGCCAAAAUUGGUUGCAAUUUGAGUGAUUUUACUAAAUAUGGUGUAUCCUUUUUACCUGUCAACCUUAAGGGUUUGGUGAGAUUGGACCAUUUGGGAUUUCCUUAUGUUCGGUCUAGCUAAAGCUUUAGUUUUUGGUUUUAUGUUGAAGGAUGUCUUCUUUGGCUUCUUUUGGGGGUUUGGGUCCAUUUUGUUGGCAAUUUUAGGUCUGAUCUCGACUUUUAGUUGGUUUCCUCACUGGUUUUUUUCUCUUGUUGCUCUGGAUUUUUUUUUUUUGUAUUCUUUUUGCAUGAGGGGUUUUAUUUUGGCUAUGAUUUUUCAUCUUAAGGAGUGUGUCUCUAUUCAUAUAUGUUACUUACCCUUUCUUAUUCUGAUCUUUAUUUGGAAUGGGAAUAGAAUUAUUUAUAGUUUGAAUACUACUUCUCAUAAGUGUUAUAAUCUGUAUUGGUUGUCAUAUUAUUUUUUGAGUGAUUUGGUUGAUAGUUUUCUUAUCUAUGAUUUAUGUUUAUUUCUUUAUAGUGAUUGGAUUGGGUAUUUUUUCCUUGUUCAUAUGUGGUAUUUGUUGGUGAUGCAUCUGAUUGAGUGGCUUUAUCCUUGUUUCUAGAGUUUCAUCCAUAUGCUGGGUGGUUUUUGGAUUGGGUUUGAGUAGCAAGUGAAUACUGAUAAUCAUGAUUUCUUCGAUACUACACACUUGAGAAAGUUUCUCAUUUUAUCAUGGACCUUUCAUCAUUAGAAUUUUUAUGUUUGGUUUGUUAAGUGUGCUUUGUUGUUUGUUGUAGGCUGAUGUUGCCCUAUUUGAGCGAUUUUAUUUUGGUUGUUUUCCUCUAUCCUCAUCUGCGGAUGUGGUUGGAUUGGUGUUGCUUUAUCUAUACUUGUGAUGUUAAUUUUGUCAAUGCUUUUUAGGGGCAUAUCAUUGGUUUCGGUAUUUGGAUUUGCACUUUCCCUUUAUGUUCAUUCAUGUUCAUAUCUAUGGCAAUUUUUCCCACUUACUAUUAUAUUGGAUUGGUUGGUUGUGGCAAGGUCUCUACAUUGCCAAUAUAAUGGGGACUUUAUGGAUCAUGUAUUUAGUUAUUAGUGGGGUUGUUAUUACAUGUUGCUCGAUAUUUUUUAUUACGUUUGGUGGCUGCUAUAUCUCUGUUGCCUAUCAGAUUAUUGCUCUUGCAUGUUAUUUGGUCAAUUUUUCUAAUGUUUCUAUUGAUGUUUGGUACCAUUUGUUUUUUUUUUUUUUUUUUUUUUUUUUUUUUUUUUAAUUAUUGUCAUGAGGCUUAUCUUUAGGAAUGUUUUUCUAGAACUCUAUGCAACAUGGCUUCACUUAUUUAAAUAUGUUGGGUUACUUUGCUUUCCAAUUCUGCAAUAGUUGGAUUGUUUAUAUGAAGUGUUGUUGUAACAUUCAUCGGAACUCGAAUUGUUGCUUUGGGGGCCUUAAUUCUCUUCUACUGGGUGAUGUUUUGUCUAUUUUGAGAUGUUACACUUUAGUAAUUUGGAUGAUGAUUCUCCCACUAUAGCUCGGGUUAUGAACAUUCGCUCUAUUUGGUAUUGCUUUAAAGUGGUUUGUUUCACAAUUCCUUCUCAGUUACAGUACUAAUUUGAGCAUUUCAUUAUAUGAUAGCAAGGUUUGUAAUGUAAGAUUACAUAAUGCAAGAAACAGGAUAAUUUUCAUAGUGUUUGAAUGGGUUUACUUCACUUAUAUUUUAUAUAAUUCUAAUUGCUACCAACUACUAACUAUUUACAAAUUUUUUUGUUAUAUCCAUAUUUUGUUGUGCUUGUUUCUUUUUUGCAGUCCCUAUUUCUUUCAAGUUAGUUGGACUGAGGCUUUUGUGGACAAGAUGAGUAUUUUUUGCAAGAAGACUAUGAUGAAUGUCUCUUUUCUUAUCUUCUUUUUUUGGAUGUUGUUUACUUGCAGCCCUAAAAUGUUAUUAUUUUUUUAAGCAAAU